AGUGAACGCUGGCGGUAGGCCUAACACAUGCAAGUCGAACGGCAGCACAGUAAGAGCUUGCUCUUACGGGUGGCGAGUGGCGGACGGGUGAGGAAUACAUCGGAAUCUACUUUUUCGUGGGGGAUAACGUAGGGAAACUUACGCUAAUACCGCAUACGACCUACGGGUGAAAGCAGGGGAUCUUCGGACCUUGCGCGAUUGAAUGAGCCGAUGUCGGAUUAGCUAGUUGGCGGGGUAAAGGCCCACCAAGGCGACGAUCCGUAGCUGGUCUGAGAGGAUGAUCAGCCACACUGGAACUGAGGAACGGUCCAGACUCCUACGGGAGGCAGCAGUGGGGAAUAUUGGACAAUGGGCGGAAGCCUGAUCCAGCCAUACCGCGUGGGUGAAGAAGGCCUUCGGGUUGUAAAGCCCUUUUGUUGGGAAAGAAAAGCAGCAGGUUAAUACCCCGCUGUUCUGACGGUACCCAAAGAAUAAGCACCGGCUAACUUCGUG
rnacentral:rRNA from 1 species